CCUACGGGGGGCAGCAGUCGAGAAUCAUUCACAAUGGGGGAAACCCUGAUGGUGCGACGCCGCGUGGGGGAAUGAAGGUCUUCGGAUUGUAAACCCCUGUCAUGUGGGAGCAAAUUAAAAAGAUAGUACCACAAGAGGAAGAGACGGCUAACUCUGUGCCAGCAGCCGCGGUAAUACAGAGGUCUCAAGCGUUGUUCGGAAUCACUGGGCGUAAGGCGUGCGUAGGCUGUUUCGUAAGUCGUGUGUGAAAGGCGCGGGCUCAACCCGCGGACGGCACAUGAUACUGCGAGACUAGAGUAAUGGAGGGGGAACCGGAAUUCGCGGUGUAGCAGUGAAAUGCGUAGAUAUCGAGAGGAACACUCGUGGCGAAGGCGGGUUCCUGGACAUUAACUGACGCUGAGGCACGAAGGCCAGGGGAGCGAAAGGGAUUAGAUACCCUAGUAGUC
rnacentral:rRNA from 1 species